CCAAUAUAAGUUUUGUACAAUCAAAAAGCAUUUAGAAUGCAUGGAGCAAACAAAAGUGACAAGCCAAAAUAAAACACAAGAUUUCUUAUGGAAUAUAAAUCCUAAAUAACAACCUUUAACUUCCUUUAAGAAAAGAAAUUCCUUUUCUCAAAGGUUGAUAAUAGAAGAAAGCUAUAGGCCAAGUCAAUUGAAAAGAAAACCUUUUGAGCUCAUUACUGAUUUAUUGAGUCAAAAUAUGCCUCCAUCGGCAAACCUUACAAACAGAAUGACACUAAAAGAGUGUUACCGUUACCGUCAGGCAUUGAAAGCGGACCGCAAGUUGCUUCAAUCUCCUUACCUGUUGAUUCCAGUGCAUCAUCAGCUGAAGGCAGUGAAUCUGACAGUUCUGUUACAGUGCUUAACCCCCUUCCAGGCCCUUCAUGUAUGUAUGUGGAUUCAUCCCCAGAUUUAUCACCAAACUCAAAAACAGAUUCAUCGGACUCUGAAAUGAAGUCAAUCUGAAGAACCAAAUAACACAGGAAACAUUUUAAAACCUAGCCAUCAGUUGUUCUGCUGCAACUGCACAGGUCGUCGUCACCUAGUCCACGAUGGUCCCAAAAAACGCUGGAGCAAGUAUCUGCCUGCCUAUUUUGACAUUGGGCUUAAUAAAAUGAAAAAAAGCGAAGGAAAUGACAGAAAAUUGUAUUUACUUUCAUUAAAUCAACCGUUUUGGCAAUGCACCAAAAAUUUCUGCUGCAUCGCGCACUUUUUUUAAGAUGACGCAGAAAUUUUAAGAAGCAUGUGAACAACCUGACUGACAGUUCAUACGGAUCAACAGACAGAUUGACGACAGCCUCCACAGAUCGGGACAGCGCUGAGUGACAUGCUUAGAACGGCAGAUCAUACAAAUAAUAUUUUGCUCUCGACGACAUUCAGGACAGCACUCAACAAGAAUUUUGUUUGGCCG